UUGUGUGUAUGUGUGUGUGUGUGUGUGUGUGUGUGUGUGUGUGUGUGUGUGUGUGUGUGUGUGUGUGUGUGUGUGUGUGUUACUAAUAUACCAAAAUACCAGAUGUCCUCAAGGUUAGUAAGAAGGAGGAAAACAAGGAAAUCCCCCCUACCUGACGACAUUUUACCUGCUUUCACCUCUUCAUAGGCCAGUUUAAAAGGAACUGGGGACAGUUCAGCCUUUAAAUGUUAGUUUAAUGGUAAUGGUGUAAUAUGUUGUAUUUUUGGAUCCGUUCUGCUGUUCAGUCUUCAUUUUAAUUACCAUUAUUAUCUGUUUGAAGCUGCUACUGCUGCAACUGGCUCCUUCCAAUUUGAACCCAUUUUGUUUUUGAAAGUAUUUUCUUAUUCCCUGUGAAAACUUAAUAUGUAGCAGUAACAUGUAGCAACUAAACAACAUUAUUUCACCACACACUAUUAGAUAACAUGUGCUUAUUAUAUAUGAGCAUGUAGUGUAGUAAAAGGUGGAUUUUUCCUAAAUCAGGACACAAUUUCAGCUCGGUAUAGUAGUUAGGACAUCAACAUUGUCCUUCUAGGUCCAUUAAUGUCCUUCCAGAAAUCGUGUGUGUGUGUGUGUGAGCGAGCGCGUGCUUUUAAUAUGAAAGAGGGCUGUCAUUUUUCAUCUCUCCAACACUAGAGGGAGUAGAGGACAAAGGAUGGUUGAUGAGGGUGCCUGUGUCUCACUGCAACUGGAAAGUGUGUGUGUGUGUGUGUGUCAGUAUUGGUGCUUUCCUGAGAGCAGCAACUGAACAAUAACCUGUACAUUCUGUUUACCUGUCAUUUAUUUUCUAUUAUCCAACGUGACGUGUAACAUGUUUAACCUGCUGAUGAUCUGGUUCUACAGUCUGUACAGCAUUUUUGAUUAUAACUUAUUGUUUUGUAACUGUUUCGUCAUGUCGUUGUUUUUAACUUAUUCGAUGCCGCGGGGGAAUAUGACCAGAGAUGAGUCAUGUAGUCUUUGAAGUGUUGCCAAAGUUAUGAUGUUGAACUCCCUCUCACACACAUGUUUUCACACAGCAGAUGGGAGUUUCUGCAGUGCAGCAGUCGUACCUGUCAGGGCAGCUGUGAGCUGACUGUGUGGCUUCAAUAAAACUAAACAGAAAACC